CCUACGGGUGGCUGCAGUGAGGAAUAUUGGUCAAUGGGCGCGAGCCUGAACCAGCCAAGUAGCGUGAAGGAUGACUGCCCUACGGGUUGUAAACUUCUUUUAUAAAGGAAUAAAGUGAGGCACGCGUGCCUUUUUGUAUGUACUUUAUGAAUAAGGAUCGGCUAACUCCGUGCCAGCAGCCGCGGUAAUUAGGAGGAUCCGAGCGUUAUACGGAUUUAUUGGGUUUAAAGGGAACGUAGAUGGGUUGUUAAGUUAGUUGGGAAAGUUUGCGGCUCAACCGUAAAAUUGCAAUUGAUACUGGCAGCCUUGAGUACAGUUGAGGUAGGCGGAAUUCGUGGUGUAGCGGUGAAAUGCUUAGAUAUCACGAAGAACUCCGAUUGCGAAGGCAGCUUACUAAACUGCCACUGACAUUGAUGCUCGAAAGUGUGGGUAUCAAACAGGAUUAGAUACCCUUGUAGUC
rnacentral:rRNA from 1 species